UGAAACAACACAAGAUGAUUUCUACACCCUUAUAACUUUGCCCCAGUUAACAAACCUAAUUGCCUGACCCUUUGCCUGCCAACCUGCCCUUAAAAACCCUGUCUCCCAAGUUCCCAGGGAGGAGGAUUUGAGAAAUUCUCCCCCGUCUUCCCACUUAGCACCAUGCAGAAUAAACCCUCUGCCUAAACCCUGCUGUCUGCGCGGCUUGGCUUCCUCCUGGGCAGCAGCCAACGAACCCGGUUGGGCGGCAACAGUUUCUGUGUUUCUGGCUUGAAGGAGAGAGACAUUGGAGUCCGCUGCUUCCAGCUUGGGCCAAACACUACUAAUUUUAAUCAUGAAUGAAUGAUGCCAAGACACAGAAACAAUCCAGGCAUUCAGUUUCAAGCUCUACUAACUACAGGACAUUGGCCACUUGCCUAAGGACCAGUAGAAAGAAAGAUUCCAGAAGUUCAGGAACUGCCUCUCUCAUCUCGGCCGGAGGAGGACACUGCCCUGUCCGCGCCCUGCUUCCUCCUGCGCUGACCUGCUUCGUCUCGUCACGCGGCCACCAGCGUAGUGUCACCCACGUACGUGAGUGAGAGCCAUUCCGCACUCAGUUACUGUGCAGUGUGUCUGUUACCAGAUAUAGGGAACUUGGUGGUCAAAAACUGAAUAAUUUUAUAAUUCAAAUGAAAUUAAAUGUCACAGUAUCUCUAGGAGGAGUCUGGAUCAGAGCAUUACUGCUCAGCUAGAAGCAUUCCCCUUCUUCCUGCCUUCAAGAGGUGCCUAUGAGAUCACAAAAAUGGCUGCAUUAUAGUAACACAUAUAAAAAGUGGACUUCAUACCUUCAAAAUCCCUAACUGUCCAUGUUUAUGGACGCGUGUCCCUGCCC